ensembl:snRNA U7 U7 small nuclear RNA
AAGUGUUACAGCUCUUUUAGAAUUUGUCUAGCAGGUUUUUGGGUCCUUACUGGAAGACCCUU